rnacentral:lncRNA from 1 species
UAAAAUACAGAGUUUGAAACCCAGAAGAACUCAAAAAACGCGCAAAACUGAAAAAUCCGGGUAGCCGGCGACCUGCCCGGCGACCCAUCCGGCGGUCAUUGGCUCAAGCACAAAAAUCCUUCAUCUGGCGGCGAUCGCCGCGUCUUUUCCAACGUUCCAGAAGAUCCGGCGACCCAGGCGGCGGUCGCCGGUCAGGUCGCCGGAAAUCCUUCUUCGGGCGGUGGUCAACGGUGUUUGACCGCCGGGUUCUGACUGCUGCGCGCGAUGUUUUCGUUUCGGCCAUAACUUUCUCGUCCGAACUCGGAUUUGCGAUCCGUUUGCGCUCACGAACUCCUAUCGAGACGAUCUAAAACUUGUAUUUCAGCACAGUUUUCCAAAUUCGAACUCAAUAAACCUGAAAUUUCCUUCAAAGUUCGAGUAAGAAUCAUGUUUCAAAAGAUAAAGCAAAUUAAGCACAAAACAAUCAUCCAACACUCAAUUUCCUAUAAAAUUGACAUCAUAUGAACACUAAAACCAUGGGAACAUGAGUGUUAUCAACUCCCCCAAACUUAAGCCAUUGUUCG